UUUCCGUAGGUGAACCUGCGGAAGGAUCAUUAAUGAAUUCACUAUGGAGUUGUUGCUGGCCUCUAGGGGCAUGUGCACGCUUCACUAGUCUUUCAACCACCUGUGAACUUUUGAUAGAUCUGUGAAGUCGUCUUUCAAGUCGUCAGACUUGGUUUGCUGGGAUUUAAACGUCUCGGUGUGACAACGCAGUCUAUUUACUUAACACACCCCAAAUGUAUGUCUACGAAUGUCAUUUAAUGGGCCUUGUGCCUAUAAACCAUAAUACAACUUUCAACAACGGAUCUCUUGGCUCUCGCAUCGAUGAAGAACGCAGCGAAAUGCGAUAAGUAAUGUGAAUUGCAGAAUUCAGUGAAUCAUCGAAUCUUUGAACGCACCUUGCGCCCCUUGGUAUUCCGAGGGGCAUGCCUGUUUGAGUGUCAUUAAAUUCUCAAACUCACUUUGGUUUUUUCCAAUUGUGAUGUUUGGAUUGUUGGGGGCUGCUGGCCUUGACAGGUCGGCUCCUCUUAAAUGCAUUAGCAGGACUUCUCAUUGCCUCUGCGCAUGAUGUGAUAAUUAUCACUCAUCAAUAGCACGCAUGAAUAGAGUCCAGCUCUCUAAUCGUCCGCAAGGACAAUUUGACAAUCUGACCUCAAAUCAGGUAGGACUACCCGCUGAACUUAA
rnacentral:rRNA from 1 species